rnacentral:rRNA from 1 species
UCUCGCCGAUCGCCUUGAGUUGAUCUGGCUCAGAACGAACGCUGGCGGCGCGCUUACACAUGCAAGUCGAACGAGAAGGCGUAGCAAUACGCUUGUAAAGUGGCGAACGGGUGAGGAAUACAUGGGUAACCUACCCUCGAGUGGGGGAUAACCCGCCGAAAGGCGGGCUAAUACCGCGUACGCUUCCGAUCUCGCGGGAUCGGAAGGAAAGCUGUCCCAAGGGGAUGGCGCUCAAGGAUGGGCUCAUGUCCUAUCAGCUUGUUGGUAGGGUAAUGGCCUACCAAGGCAUCGACGGGUAGCUGGUCUGAGAGGACGAUCAGCCACACUGGCACUGCGACACGGGCCAGACUCCUACGGGAGGCAGCAGUGAGGAAUAUUGCGCAAUGGGCGAAAGCCUGACGCAGCGACGCCGCGUGGGGGAUGAAGGUCUUCGGAUUGUAAACCCCUUUCGGGAGGGAAGACGGCCUUAGACAACUAAGGCGGACGGUACCUCCAGAAGCAGCCACGGCUAACUUCGUGCCAGCAGCCGCGGUAAUACGAAGGUGGCAAGCGUUGUUCGGAUUUACUGGGCGUAAAGGGAGCGUAGGUGGUUAGGUAAGCCCUCCGGGAAAUCUUCAGGCUCACCUGAAAAGGUCGGGGGGGGCUGCCUAGCUAGAGGGCGGGAGAGGAGCGCGGAAUUCCCGGUGUAGCGGUGAAAUGCGUAGAGAUCGGGAGGAAGGCCGGUGGCGAANGCGGCGCUCUGGAACGUUUCUGACACUGAGGCUCGAAAGCGUGG